UAAAUCAGUUAUCGUUUAUUUGAUAGUACCCUACUACAUGGAUACCUGUGGUAAUUCUAGAGCUAAUACAUGCGCAAAACCCCGACUUCGGAAGGGGUGUAUUUAUUAGAUAAAAAACCAAUGCCCUUCGGGGCUCCUUGGUGAUUCAUAAUAACUUCACGAAUCGCAUGGCCUUGCGCCGGCGAUGGUUCAUUCAAAUUUCUGCCCUAUCAACUUUCGAUGGUAGGAUAGUGGCCUACCAUGGUGGCAACGGGUAACGGGGAAUUAGGGUUCGAUUCCGGAGAGGGAGCCUGAGAAACGGCUACCACAUCCAAGGAAGGCAGCAGGCGCGCAAAUUACCCAAUCCCGAUACGGGGAGGUAGUGACAAUAAAUACUGAUACAGGGCUCUUUUGGGUCUUGUAAUUGGAAUGAGAACAAUCUAAAUCCCUUAACGAGGAACAAUUGGAGGGCAAGUCUGGUGCCAGCAGCCGCGGUAAUUCCAGCUCCAAUAGCGUAUAUUAAAGUUGUUGCAGUUAAAAAGCUCGUAGUUGAACCUUGGGCCCGUCCUGCCGGUCCGCCUCACCGCGAGUACUGGUCCGGAUGGGCCUUUCUUUCUGGGGAAUCCCAUGGCCUUCACUGGCUGUGGCGGGGAACCAGGACUUUUACUGUGAAAAAAUUAGAGUGUUCAA
rnacentral:rRNA from 1 species